AUUAACAAUCCCCUUUUAUUUUCCUUUCCAUAUUUUUUCUUUCUUGUUUUAAUUAACCAACUUCUCUGUCACAAACAACCAUCAAAUAAUAACGAUACCACACCAUCAUAAACCAUACCCACCACCACCCUUUUCCCCUUAUUAGCCCCUCUCUUCAAAUUCAAUGAUUCCUCUGUCGUAAGAAGAAGAAGUGGGUGUUGUUGAAUGGUGGAGAAGGAGAACUACAACUACAAGGCACAAGAAGAAGAAGAAAGUGGCAGAGACGACAACUCAUGAAUAACUAGAGAUCAGAAGAAACAAGGAAACACAUACACACACUUUGGAGCUGAACUAGCUUUUUUUCAUGCAUGAACAAGGACACCCUAUAUUAUUUCUUCCUUUGAAACACCAUGGCUUACCCACAUUACCGAUCACAGUUCGGAGACACAACGUUCACUAAGGUCUUCGUUGGAGGCCUAGCUUGGGAGACUCCAACCGAAGAAAUGCGCAAAUAUUUUGAGCAGUUUGGAGACAUUCUUGAAGCUGUCAUUAUCACUGAUAAGAACACAGGAAAAUCUAAAGGCUACGGAUUCGUAACCUUCCGUGAUCCAGAAUCAGCUAGAAGGGCAUGUACUGAUCCAAACCCAGUUAUUGAUGGAAGAAGAGCAAAUUGUAACAUUGCUUCUCUAGGAAGACCUAGACCAUCACCACCUAGAGGAAGAGGUACAUUCCAAGGAGGAGGAGCACCAGGGACGACAGCAGCGUCGUACGGUGGUGUGCCAGCGGCAGGACCACCGCCGGCACUGGCGCCUCCACCACCGCCGCUAGUUUACCCGCCAUAUGGCUACCCUACCUACACCCCUGAUUAUGGGUACCACCAAGCCACGAUGUAUAACCCACAAAUUCAGCAACCACAAUACUACCACCAACAACUCUAUGGACCAUCAUCUUCCACCAUGGGUUCCCCUUAUUACUAUGGCUAUUCUGUGCAAGCACCAAGGGGCACAUUCUCUUCAACCCAACCACAUCGCUUACCAGCUGGACCCUCCUAUCUAUACUACCCCACACCCAUGGAAGGCUCUUUCCCUGCUUAUCGUCCUCCACCUCAAUUGCAACAACUUCCAAUAAGGCAACCCCCUUCUUCCCCUAGUGGGGUCCACAUGGGCAACCCCAGCCCCAUGUGAAUGAGCUGUCUCGGUUGUGCCAUGAACCGUAUAAUGCAUGGGUCAAUGUGGAAGAAAGUCAUGACAGAGGGAGAGGGUCAUCAUGUAAAGUAACAGUGAAUGCAUGUGGUUUCAGUAGGAAAAAAAAAAUAUUGUGGUGGUUAAAUUGUUUAAAGAACCAGUCAAAUGGUCUUGCAUUCAUGCAUUGGCCCACAGUGCAUGUCACAUACUACCACUGCUAUUCACAGACUCAGCAGCGUACCUCCUCCGAGACAGCAGGUGGAGUAGUUAUAACUUCAGAAAGUUCAAAUACCCAAGGGAGGAACUGAUAAAUAUAUAUACCUGCUAAGUUUCAACUGUAUAAUCUUCAAAUUAAAUUUUAUCACAUUAAUUCUUGAUCUUUUUCCACAUCAUAUCUUCAUUUUUUUGGUCCACAUGCUGUAGCUUUUAGGCAAUAAUGGUUCGAUCUGAUCAGAUGAGUUGUGUUCCCCACAGCUAUGGCAUUCAAAAGUUGGACUAAUCAUCUACUUCAUGGAGAUUAUCUUCAUUCUCUUUUCCUUGUCUUCAAGGAUUUUCACUUAUAUCACUUUUACUAAUUAAUUCUAUUUUCUUUUAAGUUA